AGACUCAAACAAAUUUUUGAGGAAGGGCCUGCAGGUACAGCCUUGCUUUGUUUGAAGAUAGAACUGCAGAGGUGGAGAAUCAGGCACAAGAGCAAUGAUCAGUGGUGAGGCGCUUUACUGGUGUGCUUUUUAUUAGGUUUGUUUUAGUAGAAAAUCAUAUCCUAAAAGAGUGUCUCUGGCUUCCUUGAAUCAAAUUCAUUGGGCAUCAGCAGGAACCUCACUUUUAUCAACUGGGAUAUUUUCAUAAAGAAGAUAUUUAUCAAUAAUAUGCAUCAUUCAAGGUAUGAUUGAAAGGGACUAAAGAAGGUUAACAGUAGAUAUCUUUCCAGCAGUAUGUAAAAUUAUGCAUGCAAGCAUAUCUUCUCAAACAUUUAUCUUAGCCCAAUUUUUGGUUCAUGAUAAGCACCUCAAAUUAUUUAACUUCCUCCCAGCCCCAUUGGGCAUACCACCCAACAUCCAUCCUAAUGGAAUGCCAGUUGGUACUCAUUUUCCCACCCACUGCAUAGUAAACACCAUUUCUUUUCACCAAGGAUAAAAUAUUGAGUCUGUUGUAAGUAAGUUAAUCUGUGUAGAACAGGAUAAAUAAUGUAUUUCAUUAUUUAACUGAACUUUCUGAAUUAUGACGUAUACAAAUAUUUCAUGACCAUUUUAAAGAGUGUUAAAAGAUGUAUAUUUUCAUACAUAAAGAAAAAUGGACGUCAAAGUAACUAUCUUUGGGUGAGGAGAAUAUGGGUAAUUACUUUCUUCCUUAUUUUCCCAAUAAUUUGAUACCAUUUAUGACACUUUAUCAAAUGGAAAAGUUAAAAAAAUGAAAAUGUAAACAUCUUACAAAGAUAUUUCAGUGGUAUCACCUUUUGCAAAAGUGAAAGAGGAUUUUCUGUCUCUAAUUUAGUGAAAUUCAUAGCCAACUAUCCCAGCAAUUCUACCCUUUCUUUUUGUGAAUUUCCUUGUUCCCAUAAUCUUCUGCACCAACAGUAGAUCUCCUCUUCUUUUUUUUUUUUUUUAUAACAACAGAAGUUCUUUUUUUUUUUUUUUUUUCUGGAGUGAGCUGAUAAAAAGACCAUUUUGUACUUUAAAUUUUAUCUCUAUUUUCUCAUUUUAAUAGUUUCCUUUCCCAUCACUCAUGAAGGUUUCUAAGUUAAUGUCUGCUGCUGGAUUUUAAAAUGACUACAGUUUGCCAGACUUUUGAAAGGGAGUCACAUGCAGGAUUUAUAAUUAAGUGAUGGCAGAGAGGUCCUCCCUCAGAAGGAAUAAAAGCAAGUCUCAGCAUGAAGCUGUGCAGUUGGGGAGAAUAAAAGAUUGAUACUGCCAAGAGUAAAGGGUGUGAAAUUAGGGACUCUCAAAAUUCAUUCUGUAAACCCUCUGGAGCAAUCUCCAGAGAUUACUGAAGUUACAAGGUACUGGGUCACUCAGACCUUCAUUCUCAUCUGUGAAAUGGGUGAGGGGAAUGGGUGUAUUCUUUCUUCAUCCAACACCUAUUAGGAACCUUGGUUCUAUCAGGCAUUGAGACCUGUUCUGGAAUAUUUGAUAGGGGCUUGUUAUUUUACUACAUCUCAGAAUUGCAUUUUACACAAUAUCCCUCCCUCUGAUGUGUAUGUGCCUUGUCAGCACUUUCAGAGAACUUGCCAUUUUGUGGUCCCCAGGUAAAAUUAACAUGAUGCCAUCUGUAUAUUGCAGAGACAGAAGAACUGUAAUCCCUGGAUUUCAUCCUUCCUGGAUUAAAAAAUGUCAUUUUUUUUUGUUUAUUCAAUUUUUCAUGUAUCAUAGAAUAGACUCAAGGAUUGUAAUAUUUUCUAGGGCUAUAUCCCAUCAUUAUCAUCAUC
rnacentral:lncRNA from 10 species